CAGAUUGCAUUGUGGAAUAUGCAUCCAUUAAUCAAAGAAAGGGCGACAUUCCAAGCACUCACACUUUCUCUCCUUGCUAGCUAAAUUGGUUGACAAGCUAAAGAAGUCAGUGGAGGAUGAAAUUCAUUUUCUCAAGGGAAGGGUUUUAGAACUUGAAAGUGAUCUUGUGUCGAAGUCCACAAAAGUUACAUCUACAGUUUUAAAGAAAGAAAAAGCUCUAUCUUCUACAUUUGCUGAAAUUGAUCGUCUGAAGGAAGAAAAUUCUAUAAAAAUGUGACCAUUAUUGAAUGCAUAUGGAGGGUGUUUACUAUGUUGGAGUGUAUUUGUUUCUUGCACAUGAGGGCACGCCUUAGUUGUAAUUCUUAUGAUAAGUUGAGCAAAGUGAAGUAUUGUUUAUUUAGAAAUGUGAAUGUAGGAUGCAUUGUAUGAUUUGAUUGUUAUUUGUAAUAAAUACAUCGUUUUUUUUUCU